UGAGGAAUAUUGGUCAAUGGCCGAGAGGCUGAACCAGCCAAGUCGCGUGAGGGAUGAAGGUUCUAUGGAUCGUAAACCUCUUUUAUAAGGGAAUAAAGUGCGGGACGUGUCCCGUUUUGUAUGUACCUUAUGAAUAAGGAUCGGCUAACUCCGUGCCAGCAGCCGCGGUAAUACGGAGGAUCCGAGCGUUAUCCGGAUUUAUUGGGUUUAAAGGGUGCGUAGGUCGGACUGGUAAGUCAGUUGUGAAAGUUUGCGGCUCAACCGUAAAAUUGCAGUUGAUACUGUCAGUCUUGAGUACAGUAGAGGUGGGCGGAAUUCGUGGUGUAGCGGUGAAAUGCUUAGAUAUCACGAAGAACUCCGAUUGCGAAGGCAGCUCACUGGACUGCAACUGACACUGAUGCUCGAAAGUGU
rnacentral:rRNA from 1 species